GAUGAACGCUGGCGGCGUGCUUAACACAUGCAAGUCGAACGGAAAGGCUCCUGCUUGCAGGGGUACUCGAGUGGCGAACGGGUGAGUAUCACGUGGGUGAUCUGCCCUGCACUUCGGGAUAAGCCUGGGAAACUGGGUCUAAUACCGGAUAGGACGAUGGUUUGGAUGCCAUUGUGGAAAGUUUUUUCGGUGUGGGAUGAGCUCGCGGCCUAUCAGCUUGUUGGUGGGGUAAUGGCCUACCAAGGCGUCGACGGGUAGCCGGCCUGAGAGGGUGUACGGCCACAUUGGGACUGAGAUACGGCCCAGACUCCUACGGGAGGCAGCAGUGGGGAAUAUUGCACAAUGGGCGCAAGCCUGAUGCAGCGACGCCGCGUGGGGGAUGACGGCCUUCGGGUUGUAAACUCCUUUCGCUAGGGACGAAGCGCAAGUGACGGUACCUGGAGAAGAAGCACCGGCUAACUACGUG
rnacentral:rRNA from 1 species